UAUCAGGUUGAUAGGCUAGAAGUGUAAGAAUAGUGAUAUUUUCAGCUUACUAGUACUAAUAGAUCCAUUGACUUUAUUUUUUGAGUAAAAAAACGUUUGUUUAUCUAGUUUUGAAAGAUC
rnacentral:misc_RNA from 1 species